ensembl:miRNA
UGAGGCCUUAAAGUACUCUAGCAGCACAUCAUGGUUUGCAUGCUGUAGUGAAGAUGCGAAUCAUUAUUUGCUGCUUUAGAAAUUUAAGGAA